UACGUAGGGCGCAAGCGUUGUCCGGAAUUAUUGGGCGUAAAGAGCUCGUAGGUGGUUUGUUACGUCUGCUGUGAAAACCUAGGGCUUAACCCUGGGCCUGCAGUGGAUACGGGCAGACUAGAGGUAGGUAGGGGGGAAUGGAAUUCCCGGUGUAGCGGUGAAAUGCGCAGAUAUCGGGAGGAACACCGGUGGCGAAGGCGGUUCUCUGGGCCUUACCUGACACUGAGGAGCGAAAGCGUGGGGAGCGAACAGG
rnacentral:rRNA from 1 species